GUGGCAGACCUCGAAGAGUCUUCCAUUCUCGUGCAACCCACAGAAGUCAGGAUCCGAAGUGCCUUCUAACUCAGUCCACUCUCUGAGACCUUCUGAUAUUAAAUUUGUGGCAGCCAUUGGCGAUGUGGAAACUCCUCCAGACUCAGGGACAGGCGACCUGGAGAAGC